AUGAACGCUGGCGGCGUGCCUAAUACCUGCAAGUCGAGCGCACGGACGAGAAGCUUGCUUCUCUGAUGUUAGCGGCGGACGGGUGAGUAACACGUGGAUAACCUACCUAUAAGACUGGGAUAACUUCGGGAAACCGUAGCUAAUACCGGAUAAUAUUUUGAACCGCAUGGUUCAAAAGUGAAAGACGGUCUUGCUGUCACUUAUAGAUGGAUCCGCGCUGCAUUAGCUAGUUGGUAAGGUAACGGCUUACCAAGGCAACGAUGCAUAGCCGACCUGAGAGGGUGAUCGGCCACACUGGAACUGAGACACGGUCCAGACUCCUACGGGAGGCAGCAGUAGGGAAUCUUCCGCAAUGGGCGAAAGCCUGACGGAGCAACGCCGCGUGAGUGAUGAAGGUCUUCGGAUCGUAAAACUCUGUUAUUAGGGAAGAACAUAUGUGUAAGUAACUGUGCACAUCUUGACGGUACCUAAUCAGAAAGCCACGGCUAACUACGUG
rnacentral:rRNA from 1 species